AAUCCAGGGGGAGGUCUCUCUUCUUGGUCAUGAAUACAGCCAAAGCCUUCCAGGGAGCCAGAUCAGAAUCAACACUCUGGGAAAAGAGCUUGAAGAAAAUGCUUGAGGGAAAAGUAGAUAUAAUUCCUUUCCUUUUCUACAAACUCUCUCUAGCAAAGGUGCUGUUCUUCCAAAAGAUUACAGAUACAGAAGACUUUCUAAGUCCAAAAAGUGAGAUUCAGAAUCUUUUGCCUGAGGAAAAAAAGAAUUGCACUCUGAAUUUGUCUAUGGAAUUCAACAUGUUGGUUUCAAAACUGUCCUCCUGAUUGUCUUACUCUCCAUCUGCAUGCAAGAUAUCUUCCUCUGUAUUAAAGAAAAAACAAAAACAAACUUACAAUAAUACUUGCUUUGAAAGCACAUAUAUAAAAAACAGGAAUAUUCCAGAGAUAAGCAUUACCUCUGUUUCAGAAUGACAUGCAAAUUCAUGGUUUAUUCCAUUCAAACUUGCCAACUAACGAAGACCCAGAAACAAUUUUUUAUCAUGUCCUAAUAUCAUAUUCUUCUCCCUUCUUUCUCAAGGAAAGUAUGUAUGUGGACUUGCAAUCUUCAUUUCUACUCCUAUUCUUAUUUUGGGGACA